GACGAACGCUGGCGGCGUGCCUAAUACAUGCAAGUCGAACGCUGAAGAGAGGAGCUUACUCUUCUUGGAUGAGUUGCGAACGGGUGAGUAACGCGUAGGUAACCUGCCUUGUAGCGGGGGAUAACUAUUGGAAACGAUAGCUAAUACCGCAUAACAAUGGAUGACACAUGUCAUUUAUUUGAAAGGGGCAAUUGCUCCACUACAAGAUGGACCUGCGUUGUAUUAGCUAGUAGGUGAGGUAAUGGCUCACCUAGGCGACGAUACAUAGCCGACCUGAGAGGGUGAUCGGCCACACUGGUACUGAGACACGGCCCAGACUCCUACGGGAGGCAGCAGUAGGGAAUCUUCGGCAAUGGGGGCAACCCUGACCGAGCAACGCCGCGUGAGUGAAGAAGGUUUUCGGAUCGUAAAGCUCUGUUGUAAGUCAAGAACGGGUGUGAGAGUGGAAAGUUCACACUGUGACGGUAGCUUACCAGAAAGGGACGGCUAACUACGUG
rnacentral:rRNA from 1 species